rnacentral:rRNA from 1 species
GACGAACGCUGGCGGCGUGCCUAACACAUGCAAGUAGAACGGUAAAGGCCUACCUUUGUGGGCUGCUUGAGUUGCGAACGGGUGAGUAACACGUAAGUAACCUGCCCUUGACUUUGGGAUAACUUCAGGAAACUGUGGCUAAUACCGGAUAAGAGUUCCUGCUGCAUGGCGGGGACUGGAAAGUUUCGGCGGCUGGGCAUGGACGCGCGGCUUCUCAGCAUGUGGGUGGGGUUGUGGCGAAGCAAGGCUUUGGCGGGUAGCCGGCCUGGGAGGGUGACCGGCCACAUUGGGACUCAGAUGCGGGCCGGACGGCUACGGGAGGCAUCAGUGGAGGAUAUAGCACGAUGGGCGGAGUGCUGAUGCAGCAAUGCCGCGUGCGAGAGGUCGGCCGUCGGGUUGGAAACCGCUUUCGCCUGUGACGAAGCGUGAGUGACGGUAAUUGGUAAAAAAGCACCGGCUAACUACGUG